rnacentral:tRNA from 1 species
GUGGUGGCUCAGUGGUAGAGUACUUGCCUAGCAUAUGGGAGGCACUGGGUUUGAUUCUCAGUACCACA